AUAAGACAUAUCUAAUCUUAAAGCACAUCACCCACAUUAGCACAUGAAGUUCUGCUGAGGAAUUUACUCAGUCCUUCUGAGCUUCAAGGAACAGGUUAAUUCCAAUGCCUUUGUCUGAAAAAAAAUGGAUCCUUCCUUUCUAGAGCUUUCCCUGGCAAUGACCAAUAUCACAAGAACAGAGCCCUUCUCAGACAGCAUUGCAUCAGCACGAGCAUAGGGCCAUGGCUGUCCAGGGAGUCAAGAAAACACAAAAUAUAAAAAACCUGAGAUUUGCAAGACAUUAUUCCCAAAAGUAGCCUCCUGGAUUCUUUUGCAUAAGACUGUUUGGGAUGGGCAGUAAGUGCAGCCAGGACACUUGCAAGUCCAGCCAUGAGCAACAUAGAACAUUCUAGCCUUGUACCCUAGAACAUGCAUUUUUAUAAUGUGAUCUGGAGAAUAUGAGUUCAAUACACAGGGUCGGAAAGUGGGAGCUAAGACAGGAAGGAGGAUAGGGUGGAACUCAAAAACAAGACUUAGGUGGUGAUGGAGAAUGCUAAAAUUUUAGCCAUAUAAGUACAGAAAAAAAUAGACAAUAACACAUGUAUGUAUCUAUUUCAACAGUUUCUGGGUGUUUACAGUGUACCGAGCACUGUAUAUUUGACCAGAUACCAAAGAGAGUCGGUGAGAAAAAUACCAGUGGCCUCUAACCAUCUCUGCAUUCAGACAGCAAGAAAGUUUUGAGAGAAACCAGGAUAUCUAGGAAACGAUCCAGACAGGUUUGGAAAGAUAGUCCUUUUAGACACAGCACUUCAGGAAGUAUAUGUUAAAAUGGCAAAAGCUCUAGAUUGAAGUCUGGGUUUCAGUUUCGGUUUUAGAAUUUUGAGCAAGUCUCUAAAUUUUACUGGCUCUCUGUUUCUACUUCCAUAGACACGAUGCUUUGUUAACCCUGGAGGAAGGACAUCAUUGUCCUGCAGGAUGCUGGGUGUUGUUAUGAAUGCAAGAGCCAGCAGGGGAUGGUACAGAGGAUGCAGAGACCAACUCUCCCUAAGAGCUCAAAGCAGCUUCACAAGCAUUUGAACUGGGCCUUGAACAGUGAGCACAAAUUCUUCAGGCAAACAGAGAUGCUCUUCCCACAGAAUUCUGCAAAUCUUCCAGCCUGCUUUCUGGACCAGAGAAGCUUGGCUAAAGGAGCUGGACAUCGGGCAACCCCUCCCAUUUGGAUUGAGCCUCCAACAUUCAGAGGUUGCACCCCAUCAGUCUAAACAACAUUUUUUUUUGCGUGAUAGAAACACAGACCACAGAUUGGAAUUGUCUGUUUGUACUUAGAUGGGAAGUCCUAGCAGUUCUCAUCAACCCUUGAAGACGUUAAAAAUCACGCCACAGUUGGCCAACCGUCUGUUUACCUCUUGAAGAACUCUCUCAGAUGACAGUAAUCACAGGGUAACUUGGAUAAUACACCCCAUCUCGGCACCUCUGCGAGUGUAACUCAUUUCCUCUGCCCAGAGGAGAAACAAGGACUCCUUGGACAAAACGGUGCUUCCUUUCAUAGCCAAUGAAUUGGGCAUUUCUCCAGGUUCUGUGAAGCUUAUUUAGUGACAUUCCCCAAAACCUGUGCCCCGAGAAGUUCCUUCUUCUCUGACUUUAGGUAGAGUCCGAGAUUCAUUUCAGUGAUUUGGCUAACAUGUAAAGUGUCUCACAUGUGAAAGAGAAUCAAAAUAACUUGAGCACAACAACAGACAAACAAAAGCAAUACUUGACCAAGACCUCUUGUACUUUUUCUGCUCUGGGACUCUCCAAGCACUGUUCACAAAUGCAGUGUAUGUGGAAAUCUAUGGUAUUGUUAUGAUCUGUCAGUGAUGGUGCAUAUUAAAACCCAGUUUUAGUUAAUAUUCACUCAUAGCCUUUGCUUGUUAAUAU
rnacentral:lncRNA from 10 species